AGUUUGAUCAUGGCUCAGAUUGAACGCUGGCGGCAGGCUUAACACAUGCAAGUCGAGCGGAAACGAGAAUAGCUUGCUAUUCGGCGUCGAGCGGCGGACGGGUGAGUAAUGCUUGGGAAUAUGCCUUAUGGUGGGGGACAACAGUUGGAAACGACUGCUAAUACCGCAUAACGUCUACGGACCAAAGGGGGGGAUCUUCGGACCUCUCGCCAUUUGAUUAGCCCAAGUGAGAUUAGCUAGUUGGUAAGGUAAUGGCUUACCAAGGCGACGAUCUCUAGCUGGUUUGAGAGGAUGAUCAGCCACACUGGGACUGAGACACGGCCCAGACUCCUACGGGAGGCAGCAGUGGGGAAUAUUGCACAAUGGGCGAAAGCCUGAUGCAGCCAUGCCGCGUGUGUGAAGAAGGCCUUCGGGUUGUAAAGCACUUUCAGCGAGGAGGAAAGGUUAGUAGUUAAUAACUGCUAGCUGUGACGUUACUCGCAGAAGAAGCACCGGCUAACUUCGUGCC
rnacentral:rRNA from 1 species